UACAAUGUACAUACAUAUCAAUGCUUUUGUUGACAGUCUUAACAGACUCUUCUAUACUGUUUUGUGCAAUACAUUGAUAUGUUCCGGUUCGAAAACAAUCCGCUGUAUGAAUGGUGUAGUUACUUUGUUUUGCAUUUAGAGUUGUAUUCAGCAAAGCAUUGUUUUUUGUAAAUAACCAACUGACGUCAGAUAACGGGUGACUGUCUAUCUGACAAUUUAAAGUAACAGAUGUGUUUUCUUUAAUGUAUUUCCCAUUUGAGGAUCGCAAUUGUACAAUAUUUGGUGGGU
rnacentral:lncRNA from 1 species